ensembl:lncRNA
ACAAACAAACCUACUUAGCUUGACCUGAGAAAUAGGCAGGAGGUAAUUAUGGGCUCCUGUGGCUAUUUCAAUGGCUGCACUCUUCCUAAAGGAGCAAAUACCUGUGAGCUUAGGUGUGAUGCAGGGCCAGCAGACAGAAGCAAUUAAACCUCUUCUGAUCUAAUUGAAAAACAAAAACCAGCAAACACCAAAGAAUAUCAUCCUUCAGAUUUGCAAAGGAACCAGUAAUAUUGUGUAUUAUGGUAUAUAUAAAUGCAGGGAUGAGAACUUCCCUGGAAGUCCUGUGUGGUUAAGUCUUCACCUUCCAAUGCAGGGGGAGCGAAUCUGAUCCCCGAUCAGGGAGCUAAGAUUCCACACACCUCAUGGCCCAAAACCCGAAAUAUAAAACAAAAGCAAAUAUUGUAACAAAUUCAAUAAAGACUUUUAAAAUGGUUCACUUUAAACAAGAAAAAGAAAAAAAUAGGGAUGAACUGCAGGAAACCUGGAGAGUAAGCUCAGAGAAGCUGAGUCUAAUGGAAGAGGCAAUAAAGAGCUAUUGGCAGUUCUGACCAGAAAAAAAGGAUGUGGUGGGAAUGGAGUUUAUAGAACCAACACCUGGCCAUGAUGCUUGAAGGAUGAAUUAAUUAUGCUCUUUCUGAGUCAGAGCAAUAGAAUCGACAUCUUUGCUUCCAUAGCUUUGUGCUCCUUUCUCACAUUCUCUCUCCACUUUCCUACAUGGGAGAAUUCCCCCUUUUCAACACACAACUCGGAAGCUGUUUUCUUCCAAGCCUUCACUGAACACCCAACAGCCAGAAUUCUAUCUUCUGUGUUUUGCUUCUGCUGGUGGUGCUGCAACUUCCCGACUGUGUUCUGUCAGAUUCUAUGUUUCCAGAUGCUGUGCUAUGACGUGCCUCAUGCAGUCUUCAUCUUCAUUGACCUAAGACAUAUACGUAACCCCACCUGAAGACUCCAGUCCACAGUAUCACAAUGAUCUCCACCCCUUGCCCAGCACGUACUCCAAAUGACAUCAGCAACUGAUGCGCACAACUUAAUUUCUGAUUGGAGAAAACAUCAUAUUUAU